GUACCAGACACUGCCCCAUCGGGGACGCAGAGGGCAGGACAGGUCACAGACAGUACACCACAGGGGACAGAGCUUUAAUUGGAACAACCUCAGAUUCUCUCCUGGGGAACAGAAGCGACCAGGAACACGGAAGCUGCUGCCCUCGGCACAGCCGGCACGCACAUCGGACCAGACACGAGCUAGUGCAGGACAUGUCCUCAAUGGCACCUGUGCCACAGGUCACAGCAGCCCCGUGAUUUGGAUAGAAGACGACCUGAGUUCCUAAUAACCAGUGUUAACUUUUCUUCAAGGCAAGCUAACCUGUCUAAAGCCAUUAACCAAAAACAAAAAACAACCAAACAAUAAUAAACCUUUUUAUUGUAAAGUAAACACGGAAAUGCACACAAGCGCACAGAGGACCCCAGGAGCCAGGACUGCCCCGACCCCACACCACACCACAGCCUCUGCCCAGGGAGGAGCCGCUUUCCGGCUGCUGUGAUGAUCGCUUCCUCGUGUUUUAAAACUUACAAUAGAUCUGCUCCAAGAAAAAGAAAGGAAUUGGGUGGGACAUUUCCUACAAAUUAAAGAGACUGAGCCUUCUGUUCGGGCGGGGUGGUUCACGCCUGUAAUCCCAACACUUUGGGAGGCCGACGCGGGCGCAUCAUUUGAGGUCAGGGGUUCGAGACCAGCCUGGCCAACAUAGUGAAGGUCCGUCUUUACCAAAACCACACAAAAAAUAGCUGGACAUGGUGGCGUAUGCCUGUAGUCCCAGCUACUCAGAAGGCUGAGGCAGGAGAAUCACUUCAACUCAGGAGGCAGAGGUUGCAGUAAGCCGAGAUCGCACCACUGCACUCCAGCCUGGGCGACAGAGCAAGAUUCCAUCUCAACAACAACAAAAAAAAGAUAAAGAGCCUGAGCCUUCUGACUUCAGUUUCCCACAGUACAGUUCAACAGGUUCCUUGGUCUCUAUUUCUUGCAAAUUGGCAGCUGGAUUCAGAGACUGGAUCUAUUCAGUCUGGAUAACAAAACUCUGGCAAGACUGUAGAUCUCUAGGAGACACAGGACAUCUGCUUGUCUUUUGUGUGUGUGAUGUUAGCAGCUGAUGCUUAAUAUUUCUAUCUAUUUAUUCAUCAGGAUUACAGAAUGAUGUUAUUCUAUCAUUUUUAUAGUUAGUGAAAGUUGAAAUACUUUUAUAGAUACUCAUCUUCAUCUAUCGUGCAUUUAGGAAAGGCUGGGAUAAAUGCUUGCUUCUUAUUUACCAGUUUUCAAAAUAAAUGGUUCCCUAUCAUCCAAAAUUAUGUUAUAUAUUAAAAUUAUGAACUCAUGAAUCUUAACAUUCAAUGGCGUCCUGCAAUUAUUAUUAUAGGACAAUAAUAAUUGGGACAAGUUGAACUUGUCUCGUUUCUGGCCAGUGAAGGCCUCUUUGAGUCUGCUGAGUCCUUUUG
rnacentral:lncRNA from 1 species